rnacentral:rRNA from 1 species
UACAGAGGGGGCAAGCGUUGUUCGGAAUUACUGGGAGUAAAGGGCGCGUAGGCGGCCUGCUAAGUCGAACGUGAAAUCCCCGGGCUCAACCCGGGAACUGCGUCCGAUACUGGCAGGCUUGAAUUCGGGAGAGGGAUGCGGAAUUCCAGGUGUAGCGGUGAAAUGCGUAGAUAUCUGGAGGAACACCGGUGGCGAAGGCGGCAUCCUGGACCGAAAUUGACGCUGAGGCGCGAAAGCCAGGGGAGCAAACGGG